rnacentral:tRNA from 1 species
GCACCCAUAGCUCAAUUGGAUAGAGCGUCUGACUACGGAUCAGAAGGUUGGGGGUUCAAGUCCUCUUGGGUGUGCCA